rnacentral:rRNA from 1 species
CACGUAGGGUGCGAGCGUUGUCCGGAAUUAUUGGGCGUAAGGAGCUCGUAGGCGGUUCGUCGCGUCGGCUGUGAAAUCCCGAGGCUCAACCUCGGGUCUGCAGUCGAUACGGGCGGACUGGAGUACUGCAGGGGAGACUGGAAUUCCUGGUGUAGCGGUGAAAUGCGCAGAUAUCAGGAGGAACACCGGUGGCGAAGGCGGGUCUCUGGGCAGUUACUGACGCUGAGGAGCGAAAGCGUGGGGAGCGAACAGG